AUUUGAUAGAUCAAUAAUUUUCUUACAUGAAGUAUUACUAAGAUUCAAUAUAAUUUUUACAAACCUUUAAAAGAAGCAGAGGUUUGAAACAAUAUAUUUUGAACUGCACGUCCUUCUCCAGCUAGCAUGACCAGCAACCAUGCUGUCCGGGAAAUUAUGGAAGUUGUCAUUCAAAAAAAGUAAUUUUUCCCAUGCUAUGCAGUUUGUGUCCUACUGAGAUAUUGAGUAAAAUAUUGCUUCUCUGAUUUUAUUCAUAGAUCCAGAACUAAAAGGACUGCAGACUUGCUUUAAAAAACUAAAAGACAAGCAUUCAGCUUUCUGUUGCUUUCUGGGCAAACAAAUCCAAACUGCUUCCACUGCUACUGUGAUACUCAAAACUUCCCACAAAAAAGGAGGAUUGAAUUGUAGCAAAGGUAUGUGAAAAUUGACAGGUGACUUAAAGGCACACACACAGAUCUGAAUGAAGAUUUUUCUUUACAGCUGUUCCUCCACAUUUGUGGCUUUGAUUAUUCACAGGUUUGAUUUAAAAUGUUCUCUCUAGCAAUCUUGAAAACCUCCUAUGUGAUUUAAUAAAUAGCUUCCAACAG
ensembl:lncRNA